rnacentral:sRNA from 1 species
AAAAACCCGCCAAACUUUUUUUCUCGUAAAUUUUUUUUCGCAGCCAAAAAAAUGCUUUUAAAAAUCCUUGUAAAUUUUUUAAAAGCUUUUUAAAAAAACCUUGUAAAGUUUUUUAAAAGCUUUGGUAGUUGUUAAAAAUUCUUGUAAUUCAUUUUAAAACCUCUUAAAAUCUUUAUAAAGUUUUUAAAAACAUAUGUAAAUACUUUAAAACCCCUUUUUAAACCUUUGUAAAUCAUUUUAAAACCUUUUACAAUAGUCUUACAAGAUUUGCAAUCGUUUGUUAAGCAUAAGUAAGUGGCAUUGAAUGAUUUACAAGGGAUUUUAAAAGCUUAUAAAAGGGUAAAACAUGAUUACAAUCGUUUUUAAAGCAUAAGUAAGUGGCAUAUAAUGAUUUACAAGGGAUUUUAAAAGUGUUUGCAUGGUUUACAAUCGUUUUUAAAGCAUAAGUAAGUGACAUUGAAUGAUUUACAAGGGAUUUUAAAAGCUUUUAAACCUUUGUAAAUCCUUUUAAAACUCUUAUAAAGUUUUUACAAGCAUUUUUUAACUCUUAGAAAAAA